rnacentral:rRNA from 1 species
GAUGAACGCUGGCGGCGUGCCUAAUACAUGCAAGUCGAGCGAACAGACGGGGAGCUUGCUCCUCUGACGUUAGCGGCGGACGGGUGAGUAACACGUGGAUAACCUACCUAUAAGACCGGGAUAACUUCGGGAAACCGGAGCUAAUACCGGAUAAUAUAUUGAACCGCAUGGUUCAAUAGUGAAAGACGGUUUUGCUGUCACUUAUAGAUGGAUCCGCGCCGCAUUAGCUAGUUGGUAAGGUAACGGCUUACCAAGGCAACGAUGCGUAGCCGACCUGAGAGGGUGAUCGGCCACACUGGAACUGAGACACGGUCCAGACUCCUACGGGAGGCAGCAGUAGGGAAUCUUCCGCGAUGGACGAAAGCCUGACGGAGCAACGCCGCGUGAGUGAUGAAGGUCUUCGGAUCGUAAAACUCUGUUAUUAGGGAGGAACAAAUGUGUAAGUAACUAUGCACGUCUUGACGGUACCUAAUCAGAAAGCCACGGCUAACUACGUG